rnacentral:ncRNA from 2 species
AAUUUAAUCCACCAUCCAGGUGCCCUUAAGGGGGAGAAUAGGGAAGACCGGACGAAAGCAAAUAUUUUUCGGAAACGGCGCGGUCCUGCCACUGUAGUCGGUAAGCUGCCAGAAGCCACGGGGUUUAGACCCUGGAAAGCUCUGACCAUAGCGAUGACCCGAUAGCCAGGAGACCUGCCAGGAUGGGUUGCAAUUA